UCGAGGUGAAAACAGAAGAAAGACAACCGAAAACAAAACGUAAACAGCCAAGCACCGAACGUUAGACACUCUCAAGGAUAAACAGUAUGAGAUCAUCAUUCCUCUUCCGUCCCUCGACAAAGAACAACAAUCUCCAUGGAUCUGUGUUUGGUUUUCUUUUAAUAAAUAUGUGUUAGAACUUUAAA
rnacentral:lncRNA from 1 species